UACGUAGGGGGCAAGCGUUGUCCGGAAUCAUUGGGCGUAAAGCGCGUGUAGGCGGUCCGGUAAGUCCGCUGUGAAAGUCGGGGGCUCAACCCUCGGAUGCCGGUGGAUACUGUCGGGCUUGAGUACGGAAGAGGCGAGUGGAAUUCCUGGUGUAGCGGUGAAAUGCGCAGAUAUCAGGAGGAACACCAAUGGCGAAGGCAGCUCGCUGGGACGGUACUGACGCUGAGGCGCGAAAGCGUGGGGAGCAAACAGG
rnacentral:rRNA from 1 species